rnacentral:rRNA from 1 species
AUUGAACGCUGGCGGCAUGCUUUACACAUGCAAGUCGAACGGCAGCGCGGGGCAACCCGGCGGCGAGUGGCGAACGGGUGAGUAAUAUAUCGGAACGUACCCAAGAGUGGGGGAUAACGUAGCGAAAGUUACGCUAAUACCGCAUACGAUCUAAGGAUGAAAGCAGGGGACCGCAAGGCCUUGUGCUCCUGGAGCGGCCGAUAUCUGAUUAGCUAGUUGGUGAGGUAAAGGCUCACCAAGGCGACGAUCAGUAGCUGGUCUGAGAGGACGACCAGCCACACUGGAACUGAGACACGGUCCAGACUCCUACGGGAGGCAGCAGUGGGGAAUUUUGGACAAUGGGCGCAAGCCUGAUCCAGCAAUGCCGCGUGAGUGAAGAAGGCCU